rnacentral:rRNA from 1 species
AGAGUUUGAUCCUGGCUCAGGAUGAACGCUAGCGGCAGGCUUAAUACAUGCAAGUCGAGGGGCAGCGCAGUGUAGCAAUACAUGGGCGGCGACCGGCAAACGGGUGCGGAACACGUACGCAACCUUCCUUUAAGUGUGGGAUAGCUUCCGGAAACGGAAAUUAAUACCACGUAACAUCACGGGAUGGCAUCAUUUUGUGAUUAUAGCUCCGGCGCUUAAAGAUGGGCGUGCGCCUGAUUAGGUAGUUGGCGGAGUAACAGCCCACCAAGCCUACGAUCAGUAACUGGUGUGAGAGCACGACCAGUCACACGGGCACUGAGACACGGGCCCGACUCCUACGGGAGGCAGCAGUAAGGAACAUUGGUCAAUGGACGCAAGUCUGAACCAGCCAUGCCGCGUGGAGGAUGAAGGUCCUCUGGAUUGUAAACUUCUUUUACGGAAAAGAAACCCCAGAAUUCUUUUUGGUUGACGUACCCGAUGAAUAAGCACCGGCUAAUUCCUGGCAGCAGCCGCGGUAUACGGAGGGUGAAGCGUUUCCCGGAUCACUGGGUUUAAGGGUGCGAAGCGGGUUUUAAGCAAAGUGAAAUCCUGGACUCACUCCAAACUGCCUUUUGAACUGAAAUCUUGAUAUGGAAAGCGAGUGAAUGCAGUGAAGGGAAAUCUA